GAUGAACGCUGGCGGCGUGCCUAAUACAUGCAAGUCGAGCGAAUGGAUUAAGAGCUUGCUCUUAUGAAGUUAGCGGCGGACGGGUGAGUAACACGUGGGUAACCUGCCCAUAAGACUGGGAUAACUCCGGGAAACCGGGGCUAAUACCGGAUAACAUUUUGAACCGCAUGGUUCGAAAUUGAAAGGCGGCUUCGGCUGUCACUUAUGGAUGGACCCGCGUCGCAUUAGCUAGUUGGUGAGGUAACGGCUCACCAAGGCAACGAUGCGUAGCCGACCUGAGAGGGUGAUCGGCCACACUGGGACUGAGACACGGCCCAGACUCCUACGGGAGGCAGCAGUGGGGAAUCUUCCGCAAUGGACGAAAGUCUGACGGAGCAACGCCGCGUGAGUGAUGAAGGCUUUCGGGUCGUAAAACUCUGUUGUUAGGGAAGAACAAGUGCUAGUCGAAUAAGCUGGCACCUUGACGGUACCUAACCAGAAAGCCACGGCUAACUACGUGCCAGCAGCCGCAGUAA
rnacentral:rRNA from 1 species